GAUGAACGCUGGCGGCAUGCCUAAUACAUGCCAGUCGAGCGAACGGACGAGAAGCUUGCUUCUCUGAUGUUAGCGGCGGACGGGUGAGUAACACGUGGAUAACCUACCUAUAAGACUGGGAUAACUUCGGGAAACCGGAGCUAAUACCGGAUAAUAUUUUGAACCGCAUGGUUCAAAAGUAAAAGACGGUCUUGCUGUCACUUAUAGAUGGAUCCGCGCUGCAUUAGCUAGUUGGUAAGGUAACGGCUUACCAAGGCAACGAUGCAUAGCCGACCUGAGAGGGUGAUCGGCCACACUGGAACUGAGACACGGUCCAGACUCCUACGGGAGGCAGCAGUAGGGAAUCUUCCGCAAUGGGCGAAAGCCUGACGGAGCAACGCCGCGUGAGUGAUGAAGGUCUUCGGAUCGUAAAACUCUGUUAUUAGGGAAGAACAUAUGUGUAAGUAACUGUGCACAUCUUGACGGUACCUAAUCAGAAAGCCACGGCUAACUACGUG
rnacentral:rRNA from 1 species